GAGGUGGUGUCGGUGGUAGCGCCUGAAAGGGUGAGGAAAGUCCGGACUCCUCAGGGCAGGGCGCCGGGUAAUUCCCGGGCGUCUUAUGACGAUGGAGAGUGCCACAGAGACCAGACCGCCAAUGCUCAUUAUGAGCAGGCAAGGGUGAAAGGGUGGUGUAAGAGACCACCGGAGUUUUGGGCAACCAAACUCGCUGGUAAACCCCGCCUGGAGCAAUGCCAGACAGGGCGAAGACCAUUGAUAUGGCGCCAGAUUGCCCAUCUGGUGGCAAUAAGCCAUAAACCCGGGUAGGCAGCGCAGAGAGAUAGAGGUAACUCUGUCUCCAAGAUUGAUUACCACCAUCCCGUGCUGUGCGGGAUUACAGAAUCCGGCUUAUGACACCACCUCUGUG
rfam:Candidatus Coatesbacteria bacterium 4484_99 ex4484_99_scaffold_4011, whole genome shotgun sequence.